rnacentral:misc_RNA from 1 species
AAAGUCGUAACAAGGUUUCCGUAGGUGAACCUGCGGAAGGAUCAUUAACACGUAUCCACGUAUCAAAACCCCUCUGUGCACUUUAUCUCUGUAAGGCCUGAUCGGAGUUGUACUCAUUCGAUCUUAAUGAUGGGAGUCCCUUUUGCCCCUCAGGGGAAAAAAGGCUCGGGAUCUAUGAAUGAGUAUCUCGUUUGACGCUCGGCCGCUAUUUUUCCAUCGUUAGCCCUUUUUUACCACUUUUAACCCCUUGUACUUUUUAUGUACUGAACCAAUUCUUCGAGUUUCGGCUUCGGCUGAGAUACGAAAGAUAUUACGAAACUAAAGAACAACUCUUAGCAACGGAUAUCUUGGUUCCC